rnacentral:lncRNA from 1 species
AUUUUGCUGGAGUGGACAUCUCUCGGCUGUUCUGACACAUGUAUCUGAACAGGGCUGGGCUUGGCGAUCUGUUCAUCCCCAUGUGUGCACAAGAAAGAAUGGAUAUGAUACUGAAUUGAAACCAUAGUACAAGAUUCAGGUGGUCCUGAUUUAUCUAACGUUUGCAGCUUGCAGUUUGCCUCAUCACUGAUGGUAACAAGUUGUGACAGCAUUCCUGUGACUUCAAAACUGAAACUCUCUUUCCUUUCCGCGAUCUUAGGAAAUUUGGUUCCAUCAGGAUCCGUGGAUUUAUUGCCUGGCGAGAUGGGUUGGCCUGGGAAAACCUUCUUGGAAAAGGCCUUGUAUUUGCUAAGGGGCCAUGAAAAUAUGAACCCAAAGCUUCACAGACUCAGAGAUCCGAGGGAGAGGAGGCGAGCCGCCAUUUUCCGACCGUCGCUCUCCCUGAAACAACGGAAAGAAAGAGAACCCCCCGAUUCGCGCCGGGGAGAGAGGGCACCCGCGCCGGAGCGAGCUCGGCACGCGGAUCACGGAGGCAAGGGGGAGACGGAGCCCCGCACAGCCCGCAGAGAAAGCCGGGGGUCGGAGGGGGACCCUGUUUUAAACCUUGCUCCGUAAUUUUUUUUUUCUCCUCUCUCUCUCUCUCCUCUGCGAGUCGGGCUUCUUGACUCGUCGUCGUUUCGCCCAUUUCGCGAUUCCGAGAGCAACACGGGCUCACCGACGCCGGAGCCCCGCCGGGAGCUGGUCGCCAAGGGGCCGGUGGGGACGGCGUGAGCCCGGUAAUUCAUUAUUUUUUUUUUACUAUUUUUUUUU